rnacentral:misc_RNA from 1 species
GUGAAUCAUCGAAUUUUUGAACGCAAAUUGCACUCUCCUCGGAGAGUAUGCCUGUUUGAGGGUCAGCCUAUAAAAAAUCGACAUCGUUGCUGUUUCGCGGUGGCGUUCGUCGGAAAUUGGAUCAUCUUAAAUCUUUUGGGGUUAUGCGACUUAAAAUUUUCUUUUUUUGGCCAUGUACGUGUCUAAGAUUUAUUUCUUUUCACGUUUAUGAGAUCUA